rnacentral:rRNA from 1 species
AUGGGGGGGGGGGGGCCUACCAUGCCACUCGAACGGAACAUCCCGUCGAUGCGAUUUCGGUUAAGUCAAGGGAUCCUUUAAUGGCGGACGGGUGAGUAACGCGUGGGCAACCUGCCUUACACCGGGGGAUAACACUUAGAAAUAGGUGCUAAUACCGCAUAACAGGAGAACAUGCAUGUGUUUUCCUUGACCACCACGGUGGUGUAAGAUGGACCCGCGUCUGAUUAGCUUGUUGGCAGGGUAACGGCCUACCAAGGCGACGAUCAGUAGCCGGCCUGAGAGGGUGGACGGCCACAUUGGGACUGAGACACGGCCCAGACUCCUACGGGAGGCAGCAGUGGGGAAUAUUGCACAAUGGGGGAAACCCUGAUGCAGCGACGCCGCGUGAGUGAAGAAGUAUUUCGGUAUGUAAAGCUCUGUCAGCAGGGAAGAAAAUGACGGUACCUGACCAAGAAGCCCCGGCUAACUACGUGCCAGCAGCCGCGGUAAUACGUAGGGGGCAAGCGUUAUCCGGAUUUACUGGGUGUAAAGGGAGCGCAGACGGCAGUGCAAGUCCGGAGUGAAAGCCCGGGGCCCAACCCCGGGACUGCUCUGGAAACUGUACGGCUGGAGUGCCGGAGAGGUAAGCGGAAUUCCUAGUGUACCGGUGAAAUGCGUAGAUAUUUAGGAGGAACACCCCUGUCGAACGCGGCUUAUUGGACCGGAACUGACGUUUGAGGUUCGACUGCGUUGGGGAGCAAACAGGACUAAAUACCCUGUUAGUCCCCCCCCUAAAAGAUCACUACUACGUGCCGGGGGAUUAUCGGUCCUCCGGUGCACGGCCAAACCCCUUAUAUAUUCUUUCUUGAGG